rnacentral:rRNA from 1 species
UACGUAGGGGGCUAGCGUUGUCCGGAUUUAUUGGGCGUAAAGAGCGUGUAGGCGGCCAGGUAGGUCUGGUGUGAAAACUCGAGGCUUAACCUCGAGAUGUCAUCGGAAACCAUCUGGCUAGAGUCCGGAAGAGGGGAGUGGAAUUCCUGGUGUAGCGGUGAAAUGCGCAGAUAUCAGGAGGAACACCAAUGGCGAAAGCAGCUCUCUGGGACGGUACUGACGCUGAGACGCGAAAGCGUGGGGAGCGAACAGG